rnacentral:rRNA from 1 species
GACUGGAACGGCUAGCUACAGGCUUAACACAUGCAAGCCGGAGGGGCAGCGAUUAUCUUAGCUUGCUAAGAUAGAUGGCGACCGGCGCACGGGUGAGUAACACGUAUCCAACCUUCCGGUUACUCGGGGAUAGGCUUUCGAAAGAAAGAUUAAUACCCGAUGUUGCGUAUCUUUCUCCUGAAAGAUACGCCAAAGGAUUCCGGUAACCGAUGGGGAUGCGUUCCAUUAGGCAGUUGGCGGGGUAACGGCCCACCAAACCUUCGAUGGAUAGGGGUUCUGAGAGGAAGGUCCCCCACAUUGGAACUGAGACACGGUCCAA